UACGUAGGGUGCAAGCGUUAAUCGGAAUUACUGGGCGUAAAGCGUGCGCAGGCGGUGCUGUAAGACAGGUGUGAAAUCCCCGGGCUUAACCUGGGAACUGCAUUUGUGACUGCAUCGCUGGAGUGCGGAAGAGGGGGAUGGAAUUCCGCGUGUAGCAGUGAAAUGCGUAGAUAUGCGGAGGAACACCGAUGGCGAAGGCAAUCCCCUGGGCCUGCACUGACGCUCAUGCACGAAAGCGUGGGGAGCAAACAGG
rnacentral:rRNA from 1 species